GCCAAAAUUGAAGCUGCUCUAGACAAACAAUUGGAUCUACGUGAAAGUUUGACAGCAAAAUGGAAACAUGGUAGGACAAGACUUGAAGAAUUACAGCCAGAGCUACUUAAAACUAUAAUCAAUAUAUUCACGGCUCUACUGCUCAUGAAAAGAGACAGUUGGAGGUGUACCGAAGCAUAUUAACUCUGAAUGUCCUCCAGGAUUAACUAAAGAAAGAUGGUUUCCAAUCGAGUCGCAGUGGACUUUAUUUACGCCUCAUGCCGAAAAGGAGCUCUUCGUUAGAAGGUAAAGGGCAUAUUUUAACCGUUCCCGUCAAGCUAAUUCGUGCGCAAAACAACCAUCACCAGAAGAACGUAGAUGGUUUGUUUGGAUCAGCUACCAUAAACUUUUUGGAAGAGAUCGCCUCCAAUCUUGGACCGGAUGAGGUGUGUUUUCUGAGUCAAGAUGACAAGUGUCGAGUGGCAAUCGGACUGACAGCAGAGAAUAAGCAAAACCCGAUUUUAAUGCACUGUGAGUAUAAAGUGACUCUUCCCGAUCACGACUGAAUCGUCACAGCCCAGCAAAAGCUCAUUCCUUCAGUUUAUACGGGCAUCGAAAUUAAAUAAAAUUGGCUUGGGAACAAAGCAGUCGUUGGCUAUUCUGGGCCGACUUAUGUUGUAAUCAGGUCUGGAACACACUCUUCCUCAACAGCUUUCAGUCACGCCUUUGAUUUUGAAAAGUUGCUUUCGCUGAAGGAAUUUGACUUUAUCUCCGAAGUGGAAUUGACCGAUUGGUAAAGCCAAUUCUCAUCAUGACAAUGGAUGGCGGUCCCAACGAAAAUCCCCGUUAUCAGAAGACUAUCCAAGUUAACGAUCUUCACGCAUUAUUCGUUGCAACAAAUACCCCUGGGAAAAGGGCAUUUAAUCAAGUGGAGAGGAAAAUUGCACCUUUAAGUAGAGAACUGAGUGGACGCAUCAUUUCAAACGAUCGAUUUUGCAGUCACUUGGAUGAACGCAGAUGCCCCAUCGACGAAGAAUUUGAGAUGCAGAACGUCGCAUUAACGGCGUUUCUGAAGUGAAUGAAACCGAAUUGAUGUCACGUGGCUAGAAUUGGUUUGAUGGCCACGUAAGAACAAGCCAGUACUUCUUGCAGAUCAUGAAAUUUUCCGACGAGAAUUGUUGUAGCAAAUACCGAAGUUCUUUUUUCAAUGUCAUUCAAACUAGAUUUCUCCCCCUUACUAUUCCAAUUUCGCAAACCGGCGAAGGACUCCAAUUUCCAGAUCGUUCCUCUGACGGAUCAUCUCACAAAUUUCUUUCUCUUUUCGUUUCUCAAUGUUUGAAUGUUAAAGAAAUGCUCUCUAGGUCUGGUAACAUUUUCCGAAAUUCCCUUCCAUAUGA